rnacentral:ncRNA from 2 species
CCAUCACAGCAGGGGAGCUGAGUCCGCUCGGCUGAGAGGGCACCAAAUGGGGUGCCGACCCUUCAACCUGAUCUGGGUAAUGCCAGCGUAGGGAACAUCGACGCCGCUCUU